AAAUCAUGUGACUUAUGACACAACUUACAUAAGGAAACAUCAAAUUCCACUCCAACUGUUUUGCAAAAGUUUGCCUGUAACCCAUUGAACUGAGAAUUUGCCCACAAGUAUCUUGAGCUGACUGUCCAGUGCAAGAAAAGAAUCACAGUCAGCUCAGAAGAAAGCAAUGGUCAGGUAUACAACUAUGUCUCUGCAGAGGAUGGUAUCUUUCCAAUUUGUACACACUAACCACAACAAAGCUGUCUAAUACACAAGGUCCUACUGACCAAGCAGCUGGAAAGAAGGAAAGUUUGGCCAAAUCACAUGCAUUUUAUAAAGAAAUACUAGACUUCAGCAGCAAGUCAUAGCACUUCAAGUCAUAGCACUUCAAAGCAACCUCACCAAAAAAAUUGACUGCUUUUAUCAAGCAAUGCAGUGCAUCUACAUAUACACCACAGCAACUAGCACCUUUAAUAGCCAACAUGGUUUCUGAAGUUCCAAAUCUGGCAGCAAAUGAAGAAGCAAACUAAUAGAGGAAGUACUAUGCUUCACUGUAUAAUCUGUAUUUAUUAUUAUACCAAGCAGUUACAACAAUCUGAUAUUACACAGGAUAGACUACAAGAGAUGCAGUAGCUCAAAGAUAAGAAAAUAAUUACAAAUGGCCCAAUACAGUACUUUAAAGCACCUUACUGACAGGUUUUUUCAUAUUAGCAUUACAUGAGCACAAGAGUAACAGCCACAGGACAAAAUUAUGGUGAAUCCUGACAUUAAGAAGUAUCAAUGACACUGCAAUAGAACACCUACAUAAUAUGUGAAUGCAAGAAACCUUUUGCAUCCAACAUUAAAAAGUGGCACAAGAUUUGAAGACACUUAACAUAUCCCAAGAUCUUUUUUUCUGGCUAGGAGAACAUUUAUAUAUUUGUUACUCCAAUAUUUGUUGCUCCCAAAGUAGUUAUGACCACUUCAUAAAAAGCAAUGUUAAGAAGCAAAGUUUGAGAAGAAUAUUAGCUCUUGCUACAAAAAUCCCUCCUGACAGAAAUUAACCUCUGUCUUCAGUAAUGCGAUGAAGAAAAAUAUUAUCUACAGUUUUGUAAUAAUGGCUGUACCAUGCAGCCAUUCAAAACACUAAAAGCACUUUUGACAGAAGUAACUUUCAAAACAACUAUGCAUGCAGUGGCCACAGAAACCUUCAAUGAGACCUAAGUAGCUAGCAGAGAAAAUUCAAGAGGAAUUUUACUGAAAGCUUUAUUCCUGGAACAUGAGUCUACGAUCAAGUAUAAGGUCUACCCAAAUUUUGCAUCAAAAAGUCAGCUGGCUUGUAUACCACCACAAAAUGUAAUCUUAAAGAAUUUGUUCUACCAUUUUUAAAAUACAAAGUUUAUGCCAGCAAAAUAUAUAAAAUAAAACUUUUGCUUUUCCUAGUUCAAAAAA